CUUGAUGUCUGUCUUUCUCACUCUAUAUAUCCAUGCGUACCAUUUACAUACUAGGUAGCCACUUCAACAUGAAUGCAUUAUUCAAAAUACUGCCAAAAUUUUGCCUAGAUUUACCUGGGAUUAAGCCUAAGGGCCUAUACCUUCAUGUUUUAUGGCCAGAUCUGUGAUUUUCAUGUGGUUUUUCCAAAGUCACACAUUAUGGUAAGUACCACACUUUAAAAUUCUGUUGAUUCUGCUGAUGGUAAGAUAUAUUCUAUAUUUAAUUAAAAUGUUACUUCUAAAAAAUUACUGUAUUUUCUGUUUCACAUAUUCUGCUUCGAAGUUCCUUUUGUAUUACUUAGACCAUCAUUACUUUAUGUAUGAGUAUGUGAAUAUGUGUGUUGUAGAGAAGUAGCUACUUAUGCAACCUCUACUUUCAAAA